GACGAACGCUGGCGGCGUGCCUAAUACAUGCAAGUUGAGCGCUGAAGGUUGGUACUUGUACCAACUGGAUGAGCAGCGAACGGGUGAGUAACGCGUGGGGAAUCUGCCUUUGAGCGGGGGACAACAUUUGGAAACGAAUGCUAAUACCGCAUAAAAACUUUAAACACAAGUUUUAAGUUUGAAAGAUGCAAUUGCAUCACUCAAAGAUGAUCCCGCGUUGUAUUAGCUAGUUGGUGAGGUAAAGGCUCACCAAGGCGAUGAUACAUAGCCGACCUGAGAGGGUGAUCGGCCACAUUGGGACUGAGACACGGCCCAAACUCCUACGGGGGGCAGCAGUAGGGAAUCUUCGGCAAUGGACGAAAGUCUGACCGAGCAACGCCGCGUGAGUGAAGAAGGUUUUCGGAUCGUAAAACUCUGUUGGUAGAGAAGAACGUUGGUGAGAGUGGAAAGCUCAUCAAGUGACGGUAACUACUCAGAAAGGGACGGCUAACUACGUG
rnacentral:rRNA from 1 species